CGGCAUGGUAUGGUAUGGAAGUCCAGGUUGUACCCAUUCUACGUCUCUGGCACUAUGUAAGAGAAAGUCCAGGUUGUACCCAUUCUACGUCCCUGGCACAGUUGGACUGUUAUGUUAUGUUAUGUUAUGUUAAGGGAAAGACCGGUUGACCCAUUCUACGUCCCGGCACAGUUGGACUAUGUAGAGGACUAUUGGUGACAAUACCAUCCGAGAUGUGAUUUGUUGUGAUGUGUUGCAUUAC
rnacentral:lncRNA from 1 species